CGCUGUGUCCAGUGCCCCUAGGCACCCCUUUACGACGUCGUCUAUGUAAGUGAAAUCACGUGCCACUUCCUUGUCGUCCACUGUUUUGUACACGUCGAUUGGCUUGCCUUGCAGUAUGUCCUUGGUGAAAAAGAAGUAGGCCAUGUCGGGUCGGCCCCAUGGACCGUAUACGGUGAAGAACCGCAACCCGGUUAGGGCGAGGCCGUAAAUAUGAUUGUAUGUGUGGGCAAUUUCCUCACCGGCUUUUUUUGUCGCGGCGUACAGGCUGGCCGGUUGGUCUGUUCUGUGGAGCUCCGAAAAUGGGUUUUCUGUGUUGAGUCCGUAAACCGAGCUGGACGACGCCCAGACAAU
rnacentral:lncRNA from 1 species